rnacentral:rRNA from 1 species
GAUGAACGCUGGCGGCGUGCCUAAUACAUGCAAGUCGAGCGAACAGACGAGGAGCUUGCUCCUCUGACGUUAGCGGCGGACGGGUGAGUAACACGUGGAUAACCUACCUAUAAGACUGGGAUAACUUCGGGAAACCGGAGCUAAUACCGGAUAAUAUAUUGAACCGCAUGGUUCAAUAGUGAAAGACGGUUUUGCUGUCACUUAUAGAUGGAUCCGCGCCGCAUUAGCUAGUUGGUAAGGUAACGGCUUACCAAGGCAACGAUGCGUAGCCGACCUGAGAGGGUGAUCGGCCACACUGGAACUGAGACACGGUCCAGACUCCGACGGGAGGCAGCAGUAGGGAAUCUUCCGCAAUGGGCGAAAGCCUGACGGAGCAACGCCGCGUGAGUGAUGAAGGUCUUCGGAUCGUAAAACUCUGUUAUUAGGGAAGAACAAUGUGUAAGUAACUAUGCACGUCUUGACGGUACCUAAUCAGAAAGCCACGGCUAACUACGUG